GAGGGUAUAGUUCAGUGGUAGAGUGCAGUGCUUAACAUUCACAAGGUCCUGGGUUCAAUCCCUGGUAUCUCCA
rnacentral:tRNA from 1 species